GAGGUUAGUAGGAGAGGGGGAAGGCUCAAGGCUGUCUGCUGCUGCUGCUGAUUCUUUCCUCUGCUGCUACUUUCCUUCCACUUUCUUCUGCACACCAAUGAUGAGCUGUAGUAGGAACUCUAGAUUAGUCUAGAGAAUAGUCCAAUGUGGUGUAUUUCCAUGGAGGUUUGGUGAGGGGCUUCCCUCCUCCUACUACUACUAAUGUCAGAUGCCAGAAACGUUGAAGGGAAAGAACAGAAAGCAUUAGUGGUUCUAGUUCCUGUUCUACCACAUGGUCAUGAGGAGAGGGGCCAGUCUUAGUGAUCAGCAUAGAGGGGGACCCUGAGAAGACAGAUUGCUAUCCUCCGAAUCUUCAGCAGAUCAAAAAUGAUAUGAAAGAGGACGCGGACACUUGUCCUCUGGCCCUGGCGGCGUCCAUCCCAGUUCCCAGACCGACAAAAGAAGAGCACCGACGCCACGCAGGCGCAGCGGCAGCAUUGUUUGAGACGCAGAUAAACAAGUCGUCUUCUUCCUAACGCCUAACAACCAUCUUUGUCCUAGUAGCACCGGAAGAGAAAAAACAACGACACGUUUUCAUACUUCGUUCUUGCUUUUGUAAACGGGAAAUUAAAGUCGCUUCUCGUUUUGUUAAUUGUUAUCGUGCUGCUGCUGAGCUGCUACAGACGGGUGAGUACCGACCCUCGCUUGGUCAAACGCGGGACGCACAAGGCAGAACCGAGUGAAGGUCGUGGAGUCCGCACCUGGUCCCUGCCUCGACAGCUGGCCUUGUCAGGGUCCUAGAAACAUCUAGGUGCAAAUCUAGUCCACACGGGUGGAGAUCACUCUAACAUUGUCCUCCUUAAUCUCAACUUUUUUUUAACUAUAUAUUUUUUACUUUACUCAUUCCUUGAA